ACUCCUACGGGAGGCAGCAGUGGGGAAUUUUGGACAAUGGGGGCAACCCUGAUCCAGCAAUGCCGCGUGUGUGAAGAAGGCCUUCGGGUUGUAAAGCACUUUUGUCCGGAAAGAAAACGCCGUGGUUAAUACCCGUGGCGGAUGACGUACCGAAGAUA
rnacentral:rRNA from 1 species